rnacentral:rRNA from 1 species
AGUUCGGAUUGCAGGCUGCAACUCGCCUGUAUGAAGUCGGAAUUGCUAGUAAUCGUGGAUCAGCAUGCCACGGUGAAUACGUUCCCGGGCCUUGUACACACCGCCCGUCACACCAUGAGAGCCGGGAACACCCGAAGUCCGUAGUCUAACCUAUAUGGAGGACGCGGCCGAAGGUGGGUUUGGUAAUUGGGGUGAAGUCGUAACAAGGUAGC